rnacentral:rRNA from 1 species
AUUGAACGCUGGCGGAAUGCUUUACACAUGCAAGUCGAACGGCAGCACGGGUGCUUGCACCUGGUGGCGAGUGGCGAACGGGUGAGUAAUGCACCGGAACGUAUCCAAUAAUGGGGGAUAACGCACCGAAAGGUGUGCUAAUACCGCAUACGCCCUGAGGGGGAAAGCGGGGGAUCGUAAGACCUCGCGUUAAUGGAGCGGCCGAUGCCGGAUUAGCUAGUUGGUGAGGUAAAGGCUCACCGAGGCGACGAUCCGUAGCGGGUCUGAGAGGAUGAUCCGCCACACUGGGACUGAGACACGGCCCAGACUCCUACGGGAGGCAGCAGUGGGGAAUUUUGGACAAUGGGCGCAAGCCUGAUCCAGCCAUGCCGCGUGAGUGAAGAAGGCCUCGGGUUGUAAAGGACUCUUUCCGGUGGGGGUAAGGAAAGUUGUACACAGGAGUAAUAACCUUA